UACAGAGGGUGCUAGCGUUGUUCGGAAUCAUUGGGCGUAAAGGGCGUGUAGGCGGUUUGUUAAGUCAUGUGUGAAAUCCCUCGGCUCAACCGGGGAACGACGCAUGAAACUGGCAAGCUAGAAUACCAAAGAGGGGGGUGGAAUUCCCGGUGUAGCGGUGAAAUGCGCAGAUAUCAGGAGGAACACCGGUGGCGAAGGCGGGUCUCUGGGACGGUACUGACGCUGAGACGCGAAAGCGUGGGGAGCGAACAGG
rnacentral:rRNA from 1 species